UGCGAACUCCUACGGGAGGCAGCAGUGGGGAAUAUUGCACAAUGGGCGCAAGCCUGAUGCAGCGACGCCGCGUGAGGGAUGACGGCCUUCGGGUUGUAAACCUCUGUUAGCAGGGAAGAAGAGAGAUUGACGGUACCUGCAGAGAAAGCGCCGGCUAACUACGUGCCAGCAGCCGCGGUAAUACGUAGGGCGCGAGCGUUGUCCGGAAUUAUUGGGCGUAAAGAGCUUGUAGGCGGUUUGUCGCGUCUGCUGUGAAAGGCCGGGGCUUAACUCCGUGUAUUGCAGUGGGUACGGGCAGACUAGAGUGCAGUAGGGGAGACUGGAAUUCCUGGUGUAGCGGUGGAAUGCGCAGAUAUCAGGAAGAACACCGGUGGCGAAGGCGGGUCUCUGGGCCGUUACUGACGCUGAGGAGCGAAAGCGUGGGGAGCGAACAGGAUUAGAAACCCCGGUAGUCCAGAGAA
rnacentral:rRNA from 1 species